rnacentral:piRNA from 1 species
UAUUUUCUCUAUUUUAAAGUA